rnacentral:rRNA from 1 species
GCAUAUCAAUAAGCGGAGGAAAAGAAACCAACAGGGAUUGCCCCAGUAACGGCGAGUGAAGCGGCAAAAGCUCAAAUUUGAAAUCUGGCUCCUUCGGGGUCCGAGUUGUAAUUUGUAGAGGAUGCUUCGGGCGUGGUCGCGGUCUAAGUCCCCUGGAACGGGGCGUCGUAGAGGGUGAGAAUCCCGUCUUCGGCCGGCUGGCUUCGCCCGUGUGAAGCUCCUUCGACGAGUCGAGUUGUUUGGGAAUGCAGCUCUAAAUGGGUGGUAAAUUUCAUCUAAAGCUAAAUACUGGUCGGAGACCGAUAGCGCACAAGUAGAGUGAUCGAAAGAUGAAAAGCACUUUGAAAAGAGAGUUAAAAAGCAUGUGAAAUUGUUGAAAGGGAAGCGCUUGCGACCAGAGUCGGCCGCGGGGGCUCAGCGGGCACUCGUUGCCCGUGCACUCCCCCGGGGUCGGGUCAGCGUCAGUUUCGGCGGUCGGUCAAAGGCCCCCAGAAUGUGUCGCCCUUCGGGGCGUCUUAUAGCUGGGGGUGCAAUGCGGCCCGCCGGGACUGAGGAACGCGCUUCGGCACGGACGCUGGCUUAAUGGUCGUAAGCGACCCGUCUUGAAACACGGACCAAGGAGUCUAACAUCCACGCGAGUGUUCGGGUGUCAAACCCGUCCGCGCAGUGAAAGCGAACGGAGGUGGGAACCCUUAAGGGUGCACCAUCGACCGAUCCUGAAGUCUUCGGAUGGAUUUGAGUAAGAGCGUGGCUGUUGGGACCCGAAAGAUGGUGAACUAUGCCUGAAUAGGGUGAAGCCAGAGGAAACUCUGGUGGAGGCUCGCAGCGGUUCUGACGUGCAAAUCGAUCGUCAAAUUUGGGUAUAGGGGCGAAAGACUAAUCGAACCAUCUGGUAGCUGGUUCCUGCCGAAGU